UAACGACUCUCGGCAACGGAUAUCUCGGCUCUUGCAUCGAUGAAGAACGUAGCGAAAUGCGAUACUUGGUGUGAAUUGCAGAAUCCCGUGAACCAUCGAGUCUUUGAACGCAAGUUGCGCCCCAAGCCGUUAGGCUGAGGGCACGUCUGCCUGGGUGUCACG
rnacentral:rRNA from 1 species